rnacentral:rRNA from 1 species
GUCUACGACCCUACCACCUUGAAUAUGCCUAAUCUCGUCUGAUCUUGGAAGCUAAGCAGGGUCAGGCCUUGUUAGUACUUGGAUGGGAGACCACCUAGGAAUACCAGGUGCUGUAGGCG